ACUUUAACUCCGCCUAUGUCUUUUAGGCAUAGCCGGUCCCAAGCCCGGUUAAAGGAGGAGGGUUGU
rnacentral:ribozyme from 2 species